rnacentral:rRNA from 1 species
GACGGAGGAUGCAAGCGUUAUCCGGAAUCACUGGGCGUAAAGCGUCUGUAGGUGGUUUAAUAAGUCAACUGUUAAAUCUUGAGGCUCAACCUCAAAAUCGCAGUCGAAACUAUUAGGCUAGAGUAUAGUAGGGGUAAAGGGAAUUUCCAGUGGAGCGGUGAAAUGCGUAGAGAUUGGAAAGAACACCGAUGGCGAAGGCACUUUACUGGGCUAUUACUAACACUCAGAGACGAAAGCUAGGGUAGCAAAUGGG